AUUAGAGGUAUGUUAUGGGCCAGGCCCAAAUAGGUGGAUACUAUGGUAGAGGGGAGGCAUUCCGAUUAGUAAACCUUGUGGGGAUAAAGAAGUGGCUUUGUCAUAAAAGGGGAAACCCUUUGGAGGAGAGAUUAUCCCCUAUUUUAGUUAAUAAAAUUGUUCUUUUCCUUCUUUUCAAUUUCUGAAUUCCUAACAGUCCUUGCAGAGACACUAUGCAGUAUUGCAGGCAUUGGCACUGGAAGAGGAUGAUAUUCCAGAAAUGAAAGAUGAAACAUUACCUGACGAGGAAGGUUUAGCCAGACCAGCAGUGGUAAGGGCAUUAGAAGAAUUCAAAACCUCUGUAUAUGGGGAUAAUUAUGAAGAGGAAAAUAAGCCUGGCACUGGGAAGCCUACUGAAGCCUCCAAGAAACAAAAAGCAAUUGCUGAGUUUGCAACAAAAGAGUGUGAAAACUAUGACUGAUGUGACCUCGCUGAUACUGGAAAGUUAAAGGACUUGACUGUGGUGGAGUUAAAAUAUUAUCUUACAGCACAUAAUCUUCCUGUUUCUGGGAAGAAGGAGGCCAUAAUUAGCCGAAUAUUAACUCACAUGGGAAAAUGAGCAAGGGGCUGACGUUUUAUUAAUGAUUUUGUAACCUCGAUAAGUAGAAUGCAAGACUCCUCCUAGCCACCAGAGCUGCUAAAUUGAUGCUUUGGUAUACUAUUGUUGACCCGGUUUGGAUAAAAGACUGUUUUGUACUUGACUGAUCAACAUGGCAGUAGGGUACGUAAUAGCAUAUUUUACUGGUAGAAGACAUAUCUUAUUAGACCUCCAACCACAAAGUAACACAUCUUAUUUUGCAAAAUGUAAAGUUAUUUAUAUC